rnacentral:rRNA from 1 species
GUCAGCGUCUAGGGUUGAGAGAGAGAGAGGAGAUGGCAUGGGCGGCUUCUCCUUUUCUUCCGCGCCUUCUGCGCCGCCGAGGACGUGCGCGCAGAAAGGAAGAACCCAUCCCCAGCCGUGCGACCCAUCCCGCAAGAACCACACAGCCGCCGCGCUCCUCCUCCCGUCCUUCCCCACCUUGCCUGGCUUCGCCUCCUCCGCCCGCAUCCUCCUCUCUCUCUUCUGUGCCACCGGUCUCCUCCCUCGUUGCUGGACUCCGCCCUGCUCUGCCUCCUUUGCCAGCCUCUUCCUCCUUGCCGUCGACGUCAGCGGUGUGAACGGCAGCAGCGGCUAGAUGCGAUGAGUUGACCGAGCUGGUUCCACGCGGAGGAACACACCCCGUCCACGCCAUCAUCUGCGGCACUACUCUGCUGCCUCGGUUUAUGCUCUCUCAUCCGCAAUCCCCUUUCCACGAGUUUUUGCCUUCAACGCUGAGGUUAAAUGGCUCUUCCCGUACUUGUCUGUAAGCUAUUUGAUGAAAUGCCUGGGUGGUAAUGAGUACUUUUUCUUCAGUUUUUCUUCUUUCUGCCGAGUGUUAGUCCUCUUGUUGAUCUUGCCUGUUUUCGUCCUCGGUCUUGCAUUUGAAGCUUAGGUGAAUGGCCUCUAUACUAAAUAAGACGGUUAUUUCUAUGAGUUCUUUUGCUGGUAGAAGAAUCUGUAGGGAAGAAAGAAAGAAAAUUUAUGUGAAUGCCAAGUUUGGAUUUGCAGGUGCAGCGAGCAAAUGGAGCAUGGAAAUACAUACUAUAGCAACCAUAUACAUCAGCUUGCUUUUAGAUUUUGAAUUACUUCAUAGUUACCGAAUAAUCAAACAGUAAAACAUGCAAGAAAGUCUUUUGUUUGUUUUGAACUUUUGAUCCUACAUGAGCCCCUGCAGCCCUACUGCUCCUGAGCCCAAAUCCCAUGAUGAUGCCCCCACCUCCUCGUCGUUGAAUUAAGGAGUCUGGUUGUUAAAAAAAUUAGUUUUCUUAAUCAGUAUAUAUGGCCUCUCUGCACAUUUCCUUUCUUCGUAUUUAAGAGGCCCUCAAGCUUUGUUAGUUUUCUGAUAGUAUGCAAUUUUAAUUUGAUUGUCCCGACAACAGUGGGUGUCGAUGGAAUUGCCUAUUAUUGACUGUCAAUCUGACUGACAUCUGUCACCAUCUAUCAUAUUUUAAGCUCAAUGAAUGAAUGAUUCGUGACAUGUUUUUCUCCUUCAUUUUCAUGUGGAAGUAUUUGAUAUAUCCUGGGUAUGGAUGAUUUAUUCACAGAAUGUCCCAGAAUUUGUAAAUCUCAGUGUACAAGAAUCAACACGGAUACUGAAACAUUGAUUUUUGCUGAAGUCUGGCGUCGAAUAGUACCCUUGAUAAAGCUACACGGUGGAUGCUAUUCAUCACGUAAGCAGAACAGGCUCGAGAGGUUGAUAACCCAUGGUACCGACUGUGUAGGCAUGAAAACGGACGGCGUCCGCAUGUCCGUGAAGCAAAAAUUGGCAUAGAAGUUGUGAGCUGUUGUCUUUUCUUCUUUCGUUCUGCUCUGUGCAUUUGUUGUGAAAAAUGGUUUUAGGUUACUCUUGUGCUUCCUCACAUAAAAACCGUGAGUGUGCUUUCUAAAUUUGCGGUUGUUUGUUCCUGGUCUUAGGCUUGGUGCUUUUCAGUGUGCUGCUUCAUAGGCCUUCUUGCUUUGCUUUUUUGUGUGUGUGAUUUGCAGGACAGAGGAGGUUGUGGAGGACGUGCACUUCAGAUUAGUCUAAGAAGUCAGAACCGACAUGCUGACAUUCACUUUCAGACCAGUUCUCCAUUUUGUUAAGCUAAGCUUUUAGCUGAAUGUGGAAGAAGUGUAUUGUGGGACUGAAUAGAAGCUACCAUGAGGAGCCAGAUAGAUGAUAUGAUCUUCAACAGUGAUGGACGCUGAAGCGAAGAUUCCAAUGAUCUGUAAGAUCGUCAAUUACUACAUCUGUUUGUCUGCUAUGGCUGAUGCACACUUCCAGCCGCAAAUAUCAUAUCGAUGCUAUGUUUCAUAUAUGUGUAAUAAUGGUGAAAACGCCCCGGUUCCUCUACUACUGAUAAGUAGUUUGCCUUGGAUAAGCUGCCAGGCAGGUGAUUUUGUCUAAGUCCGAGCCUUAACUGCAAACCACUUAUAAUUUCAUGCUUAGCUAUGCA